rnacentral:rRNA from 1 species
GGAGGAAUGUAUAGGGAAAGCUGGUAAGAAGGUGAUUACCUAGUUGUAUUAAGGCUACUAGUAAUACGAUAUUAACAGAGUUAAAUAAAGUUCUAAGUAGAUAUUGAUUAUGACAGUAUUUGCUGAUGUCUUGACCAAGUCACGUGCCAGCAGUCGCGGUAAUACGUGGAAGAUUAGUGUUAUUCAUAUUUAAAAGGUUUAAAGGGUACCUAGACGGUUAAUUAAACAAUAACAUAUGUGUAUUAAUAAACUAGAGUUUAAUGUAAGAAAGAUAGAGUACGGUGAGUGUAAAGAUAGAAUUUUAUGAUACCAUUAAGGAACUGGUAAGGCGAAGGCAACUUUCUAUGUAAAAACUGACGUUAAGGGACGAAGGCACGAUAAAAAAAAUAGGAUUAGAGACCCUAGUAUUGCGAGCAGUAAAUGAUGAGUGUCAUAUAUAAGAAAAUUUUAUUAAAUUUUUUGUGUAUAAAUGAAAGUGUAAGCACUCCACCUCAAGAGUAACGUGGCAACACGGGAACUGAAAUCAUUAGACCGUUUCUGAAACUCGUAGUGAAGUAUGUUGUUUAAUUUGAUAAUCCACAAAUAACCUUACCACACUUUGAAUUACAUCCAGUUUAAUAUGCUGAUUGAUGUAACAAGCGUUGCACGGCUGUCUCCAGUUAAUGUUGUGAAACUGUGGUUAGAUCCAUUAAAUUGACGUAAACCCUCUCUUUACUUGUUGUAGAGUGGUUCGCCGCUACAUUGGUAGUGAUAUAAGGGACUAAGACAAGUCAUCAUGACCUGAACAGUGUGGGCUAUAGACGUGCCACAUUACCUUAACAAAAA